UUAAGCGACUAAGCGUACACGGUGGAUGCCCUGGCAGUCAGAGGCGAUGAAGGACGUGCUAAUCUGCGAUAAGCGUCGGUAAGGUGAUAUGAACCGUUAUAACCGGCGAUUUCCGAAUGGGGAAACCCAGUGUGAUUCGUCACACUAUCAUUAACUGAAUCCAUAGGUUAAUGAGGCGAACCGGGGGAACUGAAACAUCUAAGUACCCCGAGGAAAAGAAAUCAACCGAGAUUCCCCCAGUAGCGGCGAGCGAACGGGGAGCAGCCCAGAGCCUGAAUCAGUGUGUGUGUUAGUGGAAGCGUCUGGAAAGGCGUGCGAUACAGGGUGACAGCCCCGUACACAAAAAUGCACAUACUGUGAGCUCGAUGAGUAGGGCGGGACACGUGGUAUCCUGUCUGAAUAUGGGGGGACCAUCCUCCAAGGCUAAAUACUCCUGACUGACCGAUAGUGAACCAGUACCGUGAGGGAAAGGCGAAAAGAACCCCGGCGAGGGGAGUGAAAAAGAACCUGAAACCGUGUACGUACAAGCAGUGGGAGCACGCUUAGGCGUGUGACUGCGUACCUUUUGUAUAAUGGGUCAGCGACUUAUAUUCUGUAGCAAGGUUAACCGAAUAGGGGAGCCGAAGGGAAACCGAGUCUUAACUGGGCGUUAAGUUGCAGGGUAUAGACCCGAAACCCGGUGAUCUAGCCAUGGGCAGGUUGAAGGUUGGGUAACACUAACUGGAGGACCGAACCGACUAAUGUUGAAAAAUUAGCGGAUGACUUGUGGCUGGGGGUGAAAGGCCAAUCAAACCGGGAGAUAGCUGGUUCUCCCCGAAAGCUAUUUAGGUAGCGCCUCGUGAAUUCAUCUCCGGGGGUAGAGCACUGUUUCGGCAAGGGGGUCAUCCCGACUUACCAACCCGAUGCAAACUGCGAAUACCGGAGAAUGUUAUCACGGGAGACACACGGCGGGUGCUAACGUCCGUCGUGAAGAGGGAAACAACCCAGACCGCCAGCUAAGGUCCCAAAGUCAUGGUUAAGUGGGAAACGAUGUGGGAAGGCCCAGACAGCCAGGAUGUUGGCUUAGAAGCAGCCAUCAUUUAAAGAAAGCGUAAUAGCUCACUGGUCGAGUCGGCCUGCGCGGAAGAUGUAACGGGGCUAAACCAUGCACCGAAGCUGCGGCAGCGACGCUUAUGCGUUGUUGGGUAGGGGAGCGUUCUGUAAGCCUGCGAAGGUGUGCUGUGAGGCAUGCUGGAGGUAUCAGAAGUGCGAAUGCUGACAUAAGUAACGAUAAAGCGGGUGAAAAGCCCGCUCGCCGGAAGACCAAGGGUUCCUGUCCAACGUUAAUCGGGGCAGGGUGAGUCGACCCCUAAGGCGAGGCCGAAAGGCGUAGUCGAUGGGAAACAGGUUAAUAUUCCUGUACUUGGUGUUACUGCGAAGGGGGGACGGAGAAGGCUAUGUUGGCCGGGCGACGGUUGUCCCGGUUUAAGCGUGUAGGCUGGUUUUCCAGGCAAAUCCGGAAAAUCAAGGCUGAGGCGUGAUGACGAGGCACUACGGUGCUGAAGCAACAAAUGCCCUGCUUCCAGGAAAAGCCUCUAAGCAUCAGGUAACAUCAAAUCGUACCCCAAACCGACACAGGUGGUCAGGUAGAGAAUACCAAGGCGCUUGAGAGAACUCGGGUGAAGGAACUAGGCAAAAUGGUGCCGUAACUUCGGGAGAAGGCACGCUGAUAUGUAGGUGAAGUCCCUCGCGGAUGGAGCUGAAAUCAGUCGAAGAUACCAGCUGGCUGCAACUGUUUAUUAAAAACACAGCACUGUGCAAACACGAAAGUGGACGUAUACGGUGUGACGCCUGCCCGGUGCCGGAAGGUUAAUUGAUGGGGUUAGCGCAAGCGAAGCUCUUGAUCGAAGCCCCGGUAAACGGCGGCCGUAACUAUAACGGUCCUAAGGUAGCGAAAUUCCUUGUCGGGUAAGUUCCGACCUGCACGAAUGGCGUAAUGAUGGCCAGGCUGUCUCCACCCGAGACUCAGUGAAAUUGAACUCGCUGUGAAGAUGCAGUGUACCCGCGGCAAGACGGAAAGACCCCGUGAACCUUUACUAUAGCUUGACACUGAACAUUGAGCCUUGAUGUGUAGGAUAGGUGGGAGGCUUUGAAGUGUGGACGCCAGUCUGCAUGGAGCCGACCUUGAAAUACCACCCUUUAAUGUUUGAUGUUCUAACGUUGACCCGUAAUCCGGGUUGCGGACAGUGUCUGGUGGGUAGUUUGACUGGGGCGGUCUCCUCCUAAAGAGUAACGGAGGAGCACGAAGGUUGGCUAAUCCUGGUCGGACAUCAGGAGGUUAGUGCAAUGGCAUAAGCCAGCUUGACUGCGAGCGUGACGGCGCGAGCAGGUGCGAAAGCAGGUCAUAGUGAUCCGGUGGUUCUGAAUGGAAGGGCCAUCGCUCAACGGAUAAAAGGUACUCCGGGGAUAACAGGCUGAUACCGCCCAAGAGUUCAUAUCGACGGCGGUGUUUGGCACCUCGAUGUCGGCUCAUCACAUCCUGGGGCUGAAGUAGGUCCCAAGGGUAUGGCUGUUCGCCAUUUAAAGUGGUACGCGAGCUGGGUUUAGAACGUCGUGAGACAGUUCGGUCCCUAUCUGCCGUGGGCGCUGGAGAAUUGAGGGGGGCUGCUCCUAGUACGAGAGGACCGGAGUGGACGCAUCACUGGUGUUCGGGUUGUCAUGCCAAUGGCACUGCCCGGUAGCUAAAUGCGGAAGAGAUAAGUGCUGAAAGCAUCUAAGCACGAAACUUGCCCCGAGAUGAGUUCUCCCUGACUCCUUGAGAGUCCUGAAGGAACGUUGAAGACGACGACGUUGAUAGGCCGGGUGUGUAAGCGCAGCGAUGCGUUGAGCUAACCGGUACUAAUGAACCGUGAGGCUUAACCUU
rnacentral:rRNA from 1 species